CCCAAAGGCAUUUGGCACCCCCGCAAAUUACAUAUAUUUUGAUUUGAUAGUUUAAUAUUUGAUUAUUCUUACUACUAAAUUUGUAAAAUUACCAGUAUUAUGGUCUCAGAUCUCGCCAUGCAGGCCUAGAAAACAAAUUUUGUUAAACUUUUUCCUUGGCCUUUCCCGGCGUUGCCACCACGCCCCGGCCAGAGCAAGCAGCAGCACCCCCCCAGAUAUUUAUCCACCCCCCGAACGAAAAUAUGAAAAUCCGUCUCUGGGCUUAUGUGAUUGAAGUUUAAAGUGGCUAUCACCCAUAAGUCAAUCAUUUCUGAAUCAAUAUCAGGUAAAUAGACUAAUAUUUAGAUAUCUCUUAACUCGAAUGAGAAAUUCCUGAGUUAAAAGGUUUUGUAAGUUAAAUGACGUAACAGGAGGAAUUUCAAUGUACUCGUUGCAGCAUAGAAAGCCCAAACAAGCGGGUUUUAUUAAAUACAAUUCGUAAUUAAAACGUUUGAGUAUGCAGUUAGCAAUAAAAUUGCUGUUAGAAUAAUCAUGCACGUAGCGUGCUCCAGUCUCCAGUCAAAUGACAGCGCGACCGGAGCACGCUACGUGCAUGAUUAUUCUAACAGAAAUUUUAUUGCUAACUGCAUACUCAAACGUUUUAAUUACGGAUUUUAUUUAGAGUGGCUCGAUACAGUUUUCAAAAACUCAGGUGUUCAACACUUCGACAUGUUCAAACUACGCAUUUUUAGGAUUUAUUCAGCAGAUAUUGGGUUUUUUAUAUAUUUUGAUUUCUCUACUUUCAAAUUAUAUUAGUUUUAGUAACAGAUAGUUCGUUGCUAUGACGACAUACACGCGUAAAAAUCAUCAUG
rnacentral:lncRNA from 1 species